CAGAAACUGGCAGAGCUGUUCGACCUGGAGACCAGGGGCUUCUUCUCCAGUUCCCAGCUGCGAAGGGGAAGAUCUCAGAGAAGCACCUCCAACUCUGAAGAGGAGGAAGAAUUGCUUCUCGGUGAUGACAAAAUCAUCCUCCACAGCUACAAAAUCCAGUCCACCAUUACGUCCCGCAUGGCCAACACGAUGGUCCAGACCAAAGUGGAAAACAGAGCCAAGAACUCACAGAAUCUGGUCUUUGAUGUCCAGAUCCCUAAAGGGGCCUUUAUCCACAAUUUUACUAUGAACAUCAACGGCAUCACUUUUACUAGUUCCAUUAAGGAAAAAUCGGCCGCUCGAAGUCAGUAUGCCAAGGCGAGGGCCAAAGGCAAAGCUGCUGCGAUC